rnacentral:rRNA from 1 species
UACGUAGGGUGCGAGCGUUAAUCGGAAUUACUGGGCGUAAAGCGUGCGCAGGCGGUUGUGCAAGACAGAUGUGAAAUCCCCGGGCUUAACCUGGGAACUGCAUUUGUGACUGCACGGCUAGAGUGUGUCAGAGGGGGGUAGAAUUCCACGUGUAGCAGUGAAAUGCGUAGAUAUGUGGAGGAAUACCGAUGGCGAAGGCAGCCCCCUGGGUCAAGAUUGACGCUCAUGCACGAAAGCGUGGGGAGCAAACAGG